rnacentral:rRNA from 1 species
AGAGUUUGAUCCUGGCUCAGGAUGAACGCUGGCGGCAUGCCUAAUACAUGCAAGUCGAACGAGAGGAAGGAAAGCUUGCUUUUCUGAAUCUAGUGGCGAACGGGUGAGUAACACGUAGGUAACCUGCCCAUGUGCCCGGAAUAACUUCUGGAAACGGAUGCUAAAACCGGAUAGGUAGCAGACAAGCAUUUGACUGCUAUUAAAGUGGCUUUGGCCAUGAAACAUGGAUGGACCUGCGGUGCAUUAGCUGGUUGGUGAGGUAACGGCCCACCAAGGCGACGAUGCAUAGCCGGCCUGAGAGGGCGGACGGCCACAUUGGGACUGAGACACGGCCCAAACUCCUACGGGAGGCAGCAGUAGGGAAUUUUCGUCAAUGGGGGGAACCCUGAACGAGCAAUGCCGCGUGAGUGAGGAAGGUCUUCGGAUCGUAAAGCUCUGUUGUAAGAGAAAAACGGCACUCAUAGGGAAUGAUGAGUGAGUGAUGGUAUCUUACCAGAAAGUCACGGCUAACUACGUGCCAGCAGCCGCGGUAAUACGUAGGUGGCGAGCGUUAUCCGGAAUGAUUGGGCGUAAAGGGUGCGUAGGUGGCAGAUCAAGUCUGGAGUAAAAGGUAUGGGCUCAACCCGUACUGGCUCUGGAAACUGAUCAGCUAGAGAACAGAAGAGGACGGCGGAACUCCAUGUGUAGCGGUAAAAUGCGUAGAUAUAUGGAAGAACACCGGUGGCGAAGGCGGCCGUCUGGUCUGGAUUCUGACACUGAAGCACGAAAGCGUGGGGAGCAAAUAGGAUUAGAUACCCUAGUAGUCCACGCCGUA